UUUUAGUCAACCUUCUGUGGUGCUUGCGAUGCAUUCGUCGCGAGAUAAUCGGGAAGCCAGUGAAAUUCUGGCACUGCCCCCGCAACGGUAAAAGGUGAGAGACGACCGCAUUCGCUAGGCGUUCAAGAAGAACCCGAUAAGCAAUGUGAAAGGUCAGUUUCGAGUUAGUCCUUCUAUUGCUUGGAUUAACAUAGCCUAAGUCCGGAGACCGGCCCUAAAGGUGUUUUUGAGA
rnacentral:ncRNA from 1 species